rnacentral:rRNA from 1 species
UACGGAGGGUGCAAGCGUUGUUCGGAAUUACUGGGCGUAAAGCGCGCGUAGGCGGUUUGUUAAGUCAGAUGUGAAAGCCCAUGGCUCAACCAUGGACGUGCAUUUGAUACUGACAGACUUGAGUCUCGGAGAGGUUGGCGGAAUUCCAGGUGUAGGAGUGAAAUCCGUAGAUAUCCGGAGGAACACCAGAGGCGAAAGCGGCCUCCUGGCACAUCACUGACGCUCAGACG